CUAGUCCUCCCGGUUUUAACCUUUGCCUGUUUUUCUGGACUCCAUUCCCGCCUGCCAAUCUGUACCUCUGGAACUCUGAACUGGUUUUGAUCUUUUGCCUGUCCACGACCGUUCUCUUGCCUACUCCUUUUGGAUUGGUAAUAAACAUCUUGGACUCCAACCAUCUGCCUCCUGUGUCUACAUCUGGGUCUCGCCUUGUGCCCUAAUGUCUUGAACGACAAAAUUAAUCUCAUGCAGUAUGGUUUAAAGAUAAGGAACGUAUCAGUAAGAAACAGUAAAGGUUGAAUUACUACACACCUUUGCAUGCUCCAAACACCUGUGUAAGUAACUGGAGAUGAAGUGUCAUUUGUCAACUUGAUGUGCACAAAGCCUGUGGAUCCCUGAGAAAUGUCUACAGUGACACCAACCUCCUGUGGUGGAUUCAUAGGUGCAUUGCCAACAAUCACAGGAGUGCAAUAGCAGGAGAAGCGUCGGUCCUUACUGAAUGCUGAAGCCAUCAUAAGCAUAAGCAUCGUGGAGUGCUGGUGUUCCAGUUGUUGGUGACGUCUGGUCCAGGGGCCGCCACUGAUGGAACUGGGGGUACCUACGCCAGCUCGUCGGGCUGUCACGCCCUAGCUGGCUCGAGAGAUUCUUGCCCCGGUUGGCUCGGAAGGCGCCCCAUCCCACGGCAGGCUUCAACCAAAUCAUCAGGAUUUUACACCCAGCUGGCUUGCCAGGCUUCCACGCCUCAGCGGGUUCAUCGGGAGUUUACGCAUGCCUGGCUUGUCCAGCACCCCUGCCUCAGCCGACCCGUCAGGCUCGCCCAGGUGGGACGCCGGGUGGCGCCCCUAGAGGGGGGUACUGUCACGCCUGCUCCCGUUCCGUCUCCCUGACGAUCGAAGGCGCCAGGCUCCCCAGCUUUACGCACUCCCGUCACCAUCUUUACGCACUUGAAAAUAAAGGAGAGCCGCACACUAGGAGCUCAGAUGCAAAAAUGUAAUAUCCAUCAUUACGCACACCUGCCUUUCCCUGUCACACGCAUCAGCGUAUUAUCAGACUCACCUGGACUCAAUCACCUGUUUAUUACCUCCCCGUCUCUGUUCCCUGCUCCUGCAUUAAUUGUCAUUUGUCGUUGUUUAGCCGUGCUGACACUGUUCCUGUUUUGUUACCUGUCUGUUCCUGAAUAAAUGUUGACUCCCUGUAUCUGCUUCCCAUCUCCAGCGUCAGUCCUUGCAGGAGGUCUAGCUGUGUGGGUUAAUGUGGUCAAAAUGUUUGUCUUGGGGUAAUUUGAGCCAAUGACCAUGGGGUAAAUUGAGCUAACG